GAAUUGAAAUCCGAUUAUCUAGAAUUGAAGUAGAAAUGAUGUUAGAUAUCAUAUGAUACUUGUGUUACCGGUUAAAGAUCAGCUCAUUGCCCCUUUGACAUGGACCUAUUUAAAACAAGAUACCUGUUAUUCUACUAAAAGAAAGAGAAAAAGAAGGCUGAAAUUUUCUAAACCGAAUAAAAAAAAAUGUAUAGAAACCGAAAAUUACUGAACUUUUCGGUUCAAUGUUCAAAAUCGAACUGAAAUUAUUAGUGUAUUUGAAUGAGAUUAAUCUCAACUAUUGGUUCAUAAAGGAAAACUCAUUCAGUCAUAAAGAUAAACUCAUUCUUUGUAUUCAAUAUGCCUUAAUUAAAAACAUGAUAUUGGUUCAUAUAGACAAACUCAUUUAGUCAUUUUCGCAUUUAGUCAUGAAGAGAAACUCAUUCUUGGUAUUCAAUAUGCCUUAAUUAAAAACGUAAUACGGCCUAUUUAUUUAUUCCUUGUCAAUUUUAUACGUAUGAAUCUAAGUUGAAGUUCCAAAUAGAACUCUAGGUGAAAUACCACUUCCAUUACCCCCAUCAACUCAUCCAACUCCUCAACAAUGUCCACCUCCACGUUCUACAACUAGUUCAACUUCAAGAGGAAGGGAUCAAGCUUCUACAAGGGUAAAGGUGGCAAAUCAAACCAUUGGGUUUAG
rnacentral:lncRNA from 1 species